rnacentral:rRNA from 1 species
UACGUAGGGGGCAAGCGUUGUCCGGAUUUAUUGGGCGUAAAGAGCGUGUAGGCGGCUUUACAGGUCCGUUGUGAAAACUCGAGGCUCAACCUCGAGACGCCGGUGGAAACCGUAAAGCUAGAGUCCGGAAGAGGAGAGUGGAAUUCCUGGUGUAGCGGUGAAAUGCGCAGAUAAUCAGGAAGAACACCCGUGGCGAAGGCGGCUCUCUGGGACGGUACUGACGCUGAGACGCGAAAGCGUGGGGAGCGAACAGG